rnacentral:rRNA from 3 species
AUGCGACCAUACCCACUGGAGAACUCGGGAUCCCGUCCGCUCUCCCAUCGAUAAACCAGCGAGGGCCGGAGUAGUAGUUGGGUCGGAGACGACCAGCGAAUGCCCGGUGUUGCAUG